UACGUAGGGGGCAAGCGUUGUCCGGAAUCAUUGGGCGUAAAGAGCGUGUAGGCGGCCUGAUAAGUCGGUUGUGAAAGUCAAGGGCUCAACCCUUGAAUGCCGGCCGAUACUGUCAGGCUAGAGUCCGGAAGAGGCGAGUGGAAUUCCUGGUGUAGCGGUGAAAUGCGCAGAUAUCAGGAGGAACACCAAUGGCGAAGGCAGCUCGCUGGGACGGUACUGACGCUGAGACGCGAAAGCGUGGGGAGAAACAGG
rnacentral:rRNA from 1 species